CUUGUUUUUUGUGUUUUUUUCAGAGAUGGGGUCUCACUCUGGGCUGGAGUGAAGUGGUGCAAUCACAGCUCACUGCAGCCUUGACCUCCUGGGCUCAAGUGAUCCUCCCACAUCAGCCUCCAGAGUAACUGGGACCACAGGCACACAUCACCACGCUCAGCUAAUUUUUGUAUUUUUUUGUAGAGAUGGGGUUUCACCAUAUUGGCCAGGCUGAUCUUGAACUCGUGGGCUGAAGCAAAUCACCCACCUCAGCUUCCCAAAAUGCUGGGAUUACAGGCAUGAGCCACAGUGCCUGGCCUAAAAUACUCUUAAAUGAUGCACCCUCCAUACAUAGAAAAUCUUCCUAGAAGUAAUAUCAUCCUAUAUAAUGAGAUGAGGGUUAAGCUGGUGAUAAAGUUAGGCAUAAGUAGGGCAUCACCCUAAAUCCCGAGUUAAGAGGAGUUUGCUGUAGUUUGGGGAGCAUAUUGAAAACACAUUGUUGGCUGUGGGCGGCAAGCCAUCCAGGUGCUGAGGCAAGAGACCGAGGGCACGAGCUGUUCCAGUAUAAUAAAAUAUAUAAAACAACAAGAGUUAUACUAGAUCUAGAUCACAGACAUGAUUAUAUAUGAAUAUCAUUAAUCAUUAGUUAUCCGGAGGCCUAACCGUCUCCCUGUGGUGCUGUGCUUCAGUGGUCACGCUCCUAGUCUGCCUUCAUGUUCCAUCCUGUACACCUGGCUCUGCCUUUUAGAUAACAGUAGCAAAAUUAGUGAAAGUACUAAAAGUCUCUGAUACGCAGAAAUAAUGGCGUAAGCUGUCUCUCUCUCUCCCUGUCUAUCUCUGCCUUGGCUGCCAGGCAGGGAAGGGCCCCCUGUCCAGUGGACACGUGACCCACGUGACCUUACCUGUCAUUGGAGAUGACUCACACUCUUUACCCUGCCCCUUUUGCUUUGUAUCCAAUAAAUAACAGUGCAGCCAGACAUUCGGGGCCUCUACCGGUCUCCGCCUCUUGGUGGUAGUGGUCCCCCAAGCCCAGCUGUCUUUUCUUUUACCUCUUUGUCUUGUGUCUUUAUUUCUACAAUCUCUCGUCUCCGCACAUGGGGAGAAAAACCCACCGACCCUGUGGGGCUGGUCCCUACAGUUGGCCGGGCACGGUAUCUUGACUAGAGGAAGAUAGUGUUCUGGGUGGGAGACUCAAGAGGUCUGGUUACUGAAGAUACAGAUCUCACUUAAAGUAAGUAAAUUGACAUCUGGUUUCCAAAUCAAUCUAUUAUGAAAUUGGCCCAUGUCACUUUCAUUUGGCCUGAUCAAGUUUUUACUGAGAACUGAAUUGGGCACAGUGGCUCACACCUGUAAUCCCAGCACCUUAGGAGGCUAAGGCGGGAGGAUCACUUGAGUCCAGGAGUUUGAAAACAGCCUGGGCAACAUAACAAAGUCCCAUCUCCACAAAAAAUACAAACAUUAGCCCAGGAAGCUGAAGCAGGAGGAUCAUUUGAGCCCAGGAGGUCGAGGCAGCAGUGAGCUAUGAUCGUGCCACUGCACUCCAGCCUGGAUGGCAGAGCAAGACCCUGUCUCAAAAAAAAAAAAAAAAAAAAUUUGAGAACAUUGGACAUUCAGUAUCUCUCCCCUCUCUUGGGCAUCAUGUUUAGGUUCUGUCUCUAGAGCACAUCUCAGAGCCUGCUACAGGUAAACAGGCCAGAAGUUAAAUGCAUGAAACAAAUUAAAUGCAUGAAACAUUCAAGCACAUUCUUAUUGGUGUAAUUAAAAUAAAAAAGUAAAUGCAUGAAACAGAAGCUGUUUACCCACAGCAGAGGAGGGGCAGAAAUCAUAUCCAGUGUGCCAUAUCAUUACUGCCUGCCAGCAUUUCCUUAGGCUAUUUCAUUUAUUUACUUUUUUUGAGAUGGAGUCUCGCUCUGACUCCCAGGCUGGAGUGCAGUGGCAUGAUCUCCACUCACUGCAACCUCCACCUCCCAGGUUCAACCAAUUUUCCUGCCUCAGCCUCCCAAGUAGCUGGGAUUACAGGUGCCAGCCACCAUGACUGCCUAAUUUGUGUAUUUUUAGUGAGAGACAGGGUUUCACUACGUUGGCCAGGCUGGUCUCAAACUCCUGACCUCGAGUGAUCCACCCGCCUCGGCUUCCCAAAGUGCUGGGAUUACAGGCGUGAGCCACCAUGCCCACCUUCCUUUGGUUAUUGAGAUGGACAAAGAGUUACCCAGUAAGUUAAGAGCAGCUAGUUUUUAAUGAAUCUUAGCCCAGAAUACAAAGCAGGGUGUAGCAGUUGCCUUAAUGGUGAUAUAAUUGUAAACAAUAGCUUUUUC
rnacentral:lncRNA from 10 species